rnacentral:rRNA from 1 species
UGGGGAAUAUUGCGCAAUGGGCGAAAGCCUGACGCAGCUACGCCGCGUGGGUGAUGACGGUCUUCGGAUUGUAAAACCCUGUCGGGAGGGACGAAACAAAUGACGGUACCUCCCAAGAAAGCACCGGCUAACUCCGUGCCAGCAGCCGCGGUAAUACGGAGGGUGCAAGCGUUGCUCGGAAUCACUGGGCGUAAAGCGUACGCAGGCGGCCUGUUAAGUCGGGGGUGAAAGCCCAGGGCUCAACCCUGGAAUUGCCUUCGAUACUGGCAGGCUUGAAUACGGGAGAGGAGAGCGGAAUUCCUGGUGUAGAGGUGAAAUUCGUAGAUAUCAGGAGGAACACCGGUGGCGAAAGCGGCUCUCUGGCCCGAUAUUGACGCUCAUGUACGAAAGCGUGGGGAGCAAACAGG